GAAGAUCCAAGGAUGGACAUUGAGUGGCCAAGGCUAUAAAUAGAAGGGUAAUCCCCUCAUUUCCACUCACCACACUACAAGCAAAUUCAAGAGCUUUCACUCCACACUUGCCCACACGUUUUUGCCUCCAAGCUUCCAAGCUUUCAAGUGUCCUAGCUUUCCAAAGCUUCAAAAGCUCUCCAACUUCUUCUUCUAAUCUUCUUGUUCAUCUUUACAAGUAAGAAGUGUUGUUUGCUUUAAUAUUCCACUCCUCUAAUCACCUCUUAUGUGUGUCCACUUUGGUUGAGAGGGUUGUCUCAAUAGUACCAAAGUGUUAGAGAAGGUUUGUGAACUCAACCAUAAAGCUCUAGUUUGGUUUUAUAGAGUUUCCGAGAAAACUCUUAGGUUGAGUCUACCUUUAAAGAUUUCAGAGGUUUUUAAGAGUUCCUUGAUACUCUAAGGUACUAACUUACCCGUAAAAGUUAGAGGUUCUUCAGAGUGCCCUUGAUACUCUAAGGUGUGAGUCUACCCGUAAAAGACUGGUUCCUAAGCGAAGUAGCCUUAAAGCUUAGAGAGGUUUUUAAGAGUUCCUUGAUACUCUAAGGUACUAACUUACCCGUAAAAGUUAGAGGUUCUUAAGAGUGCCCUUGAUACUCUAAGGUGUGAGUCUACCCGUAAAAGACUGGUUCCUAAGCGAGGUAGCCUUAAAGCUUAGAAAGGUUUUGCCAUUACCUUUAGGCGAGUGAAUUCCGGCUGUUGGUCGGGACUGGACUAGCCCUUGUUUGGGUGAACCAGUAUAAAUCU
rnacentral:lncRNA from 1 species